rnacentral:rRNA from 1 species
CAUCUAAAGCUAAAUAUUGGCGAGAGACCGAUAGCGAACAAGUACAGUGAUGGAAAGAUGAAAAGAACUUUGAAAAGAGAGUGAAAAAGUACGUGAAAUUGUUGAAAGGGAAGGGCUUGAGAUCAGACUUGGCUUCGGCCGGGCCAGCAUCGGUUUGGAUGGUAGGAUAAUGACAUUGGAAUGUACCUUGCCUUCGGGGAAGUAUUAUAGCCUUUGUUGAUACUGCCUGUCUAGACCGAGGACUGCGUCUU